rnacentral:rRNA from 1 species
UAGUCAUAUGCUUGUCUCAAAGAUUAAGCCAUGCAUGUCUAAGUAUAAAUAAAUUUAUAUUGUGAAACUGCGAAUGGCUCAUUAAAUCAGUUAUGAUCUACGUGACAUAUUUCUUUACUACUUGGAUAACCGUGGUAAUUCUAGAGCUAAUACAUGCAAAAAAGCCCUGACUUCGGAAGGGGUGCACUUAUUAGAUAAAGCCAACGCUGGGUAAAACCAGUUUUCCUUGGUGAUUCAUAAUAAUUUAGCGGAUCGCAUGGCCUUGUGCUGGCGACGG